UACGGAGGGAGCAAGCGUUACUCGGAAUUAUUGGGCGUAAAGGGCGCGUAGGCGAUCUGACAAGUCUGGUGUGAAAGCCCACAUGUUAACUGUGGAAGUGCAUUAGAAACUGUUGGAUUUGAGUUCAGGAGAGGAAGGCAGAAUUCCCGGUGUAGCGGUGAAAAUGCGCAGAUAUCGGGAGGAACACCAAUGGCGAAGGCAGCUCGCUGGGACGGUACUGACGCUGAGGCGCGAAAGCGUGGGGAGCAAACAGGG
rnacentral:rRNA from 1 species